CUAAACAAUCAACAAAUCUAUUCAACUGAAAAUCAGACAAUUAAUAAGGAUAUUGUUAAAGAAGAAGAAACAAUAUCAGUUCUACAAAAUGAAGAUCCUCCGACAGUUCAAGAAGAACCAGUCCCGAUACCAGAAAAAACACUAACUUUUGAAGAAAUGCUGGCAGAACUUUCCUCUGUAGAUGACAGUUUCAGCAAGAAGGAAGCGAAGCUGCUCAGAAUGAUGGAGUCUAUAGAGAGGAUUACAGCCAAUGUGGAGGCUAUUAGUGAAGAGGAACAGAAGAGAAGAGACGCUGAGCGUCUCCUGUCUCGUACCACUUCUUCAGAGGGACAAAUAGAAAGCUUUCUGAACAGCAUGAAAGUUGACAAGGU